rnacentral:misc_RNA from 1 species
CUCGUCUCUCGACUCUUGAUCCCGCCAUCCCUCCUAACCCCCUCCUCCACGCUUACCUUGGCCGCGUACAUCUACCGCGCACACGCAUCUCUAUGUGCAAAGCCGCAAAGGUAUUCGUAGCCUCUCCCUCACCCGAGCCCCUACCCUCCUCAUCACGUGAGGGUUGCCGACGCCCCACGUGACGCUCGCUCUUUCUCACCCUUUCUGCACGCGACACCGACACAUACGUGCAUACACGCUCUCCCGAAAGUCGCUCCGGUGCAGCGCAAUCGCGGCAGUUAAUGAUCUCUUUGCACAGCGCUUCCUAUCUCGUGGAAGCCGUGGCCUCCGCGCGUUUUCCUUCCGCUGUCGUUGUUUUUUUUUUCUCCGCCUCUACGCGAACACGUGCACGUAAUCCAACUCGGACGCCUGCGCGAAACAUAAAGUCGCUCUCUCACACACAGAUACGUCAUUGCAAGCACUCCGGAGCCGAAAAAGGACGCACAAAACGAAAAACGACAACAGAGCAAGAGUUGGUGUGUGGUAAUCUAUCACUGCGUCCGGUUCUGUUCUCGUUUUUUUUUUACCUGUCUCUCUCUAUCCUGCUGCUGCUGCUGCUGCAUCCCUCGCCAACGCCCAUCUCUGCCCUGCACACACACACAAAAAAAAACUGAUCUCUCCAGCGCGUGUGCGUGUGCGCGUCACCUGGUGGCCGACCCGCCGCUUUUAUAUAUCCUUGUGUUUUCUUUUUUUUCCCUUGUUUUAUUCGUGAUUCUCUCUCUUGUCCACUUCAUCUCGCGGUGCGGGUGUCUCACGAGGAGAGACGAGUUUAGGGCUCCUCCGUCAUUCCCUCUGUCUCCACACACACUCACACAAGCAAGCUAACACCAUUCUGACUAUCACCGCUUCUAGUCCCGCUGGCUUAACGCUCUCAUUGCUCUCCGCGUAUUUGCUUGUCUCUGUGUGCGCGUGUAGGUCUUCUCUGCUCGUGGCGACAUCCACGCGUCUUUCCUUUCUCAUUGCUUCUGCGGUAGUGGUGGUGCUCCCUCGUUCUCCCCGCCUCCUCCUCUGCUUGUCGUUCGUUCUCUCUGUGUUUUAACUCCCUUGUUGCCGGCUGCCUGUUCGCGUCGCGUCCCUGGCGCUCGUUGUCAGGCGUCCUCACCCACCACUGUCGCCUUUUGCUUGAUUUUUGACGUCACCGCCGGUGGGCCGCCUGUCGUUUUUGUGGCUUCCUCUUCUUUUUUGUUUUCGUUAGUCUCUCUUCCCCAUCAAUCGACAGCCCGCGCCAUAUUUUCGUGUUGUUUAGUUGUUCUCAUAGAACUACUGCUCCUCACCCACUCCCACCGUCUGCGUAUCGCUCUCUCUCUCUCUGUGUCUGCCUCUGCCUUUCCCGGACAGUCAACGUGAAAUCCGUAUCCUCUCUGUUGCUGUUUGCUCUUUAGCGCUUAAGGUGGAGGCCGACUCGGCGGCCUUCAACACUGCCCGUCUCUUUCUUUGGCUGCAAGCAGACGCUUUCCACGACCACCCUCAGCCUCUCACCUGGUCUGCCGACGUCUCUCUCUUCGCGUGCCGCUCUCGCGGUCUUUUCUCUCUUCUGUAUCACGGACCCUACAGGUACCAUGCGUCGGCGUUGCCUGCUGGUGGAUUCGAUCCGGUUGUCGGACUUUGCAGAUAUGGAGGCAGUCCUGCUGCGGUGUCCAAAGUUUUACGCAAAGGAGAGCCUAGUGACUGUCUUUCCAGAGGCAGAGCGGCGCGUGCGGUUCAUUCAAGCAGCGCAGGCAGACGGGGAGUCAUCGGAGGCGAAUUACUAUCUCCUCUACACCUUUCAGUCAUCCGACUUUGUGCCUGGCGGGGAGCCCGCUCGCUUGGACAGUGGCGAGUUGCAAAAACUGACAAGCGAGGAUGAUGGCGCGGCAACUUUAGAGACGUCGGCAGCGGCGUCAUCGGUGUGCUCGCCGUUGAAGAAGGAGGAAGACGGAUUCUCGGCGCUCAUCCAGUACUCCCCCGCCUCAGUGGAGUGGAAGGAUCGCAGCCGCGAGCGCUUUUUCAGCUUCAUGGCCGCCGCGCAGGCGCGUUUGGAGAAGCGUCUUGGCAGCGCAAACAAAUCGUCUUCACGUUUUUUCAUGGACUGGCCCGACCCGGCGACGGGGCUGCCUCUCUGCACAGAGCGCGGCGCCACGAUCUUCUGCGACGCCGACGCGAUUCUGCAAUUUUUCUCGUUCAACAGCGUUCUCAUUGCUGGUCCUGGUGGGGGUUGCCGCAUGAUUGAGCAUCCGCGAUUUGGCCUCAACGUGUACCCGGCGGCCGGCGUUCUUGUCUUGCCACGAGACGCCGAAGAGGCGCUGCGCGAGACGAUCCGAAGCUUCGCGGCGUGAGGGGGUGUCAAAGUCAAGGCAGAGAAGCCGAGCGCACAACACCGCGCCAGCUCCAGGAACCUCUUCUCUAGUUUUUUUUUCUCUUCGUUCCCUCUGUAUACGAAGGGCAUCAUAGGGGGCUUGCCUUUCACCUACUCGGCAUGAGUACGCCCGGUGCUAUGGGGAAGGGAGGAGGGUCAGCGCACAAAACCCCCUUCCGUGCGCCCCCGCGCCUGUGCCGCGCCGGCCGCUUUUCGGCGGGUGUGAUGACUAACUUCCUUUUUCUGUUUUACGUUUCUUCGUGUGUUUUUCAUUUCGGGUGUGUUUCUCUCGCGCGUGCGCGCACGCUCGCGUUGCCCUCCUUUUCGUGUUUUCCUUCAAUGUGUGCCAUUUUGGCUUUGUCUGUGCGUGUGCAGGUCUUCGUGUGUUGCUCUUGUCGUUGCUUGCCCUUUUUCUGGCGCGCAUGCGCGCCUGUGCCCCCCCCCAGCGAUGCGUUUCCUCUCCUGUUCGCCAAGCAGAGAGGACACCGCGAAUGAGCCACGUCUCUCCCUACAUGCGAGACAUUCUAGGCGUACCCUGACUUCAGUCUUCGUGGUGCUGUGCAUUGGUACCGAAGGGGACGCGCUUGAUGUUGGUGGGCGCUGCGACACUGAUUGCUGCCCAUGUUCCUCGUGCUGAUACCCACUCAAGAAGCAGUCGCUCGUCUCCCGAGACGGUUGUGAGAGGCGCCAGGGCCCCCAUUCACGCGCACUGAACUACCUCAGUCUCGUGGCUUCGAUAACAGACCGCGGGAAACACGGGCGCUCGGUAUGCACGCCACAGUGGAGGUGUCGCCCGGUCUUGCACAGAGACAGUACCUGUGUGAGCCCCACCCCCAACCCCGCCAAUGAACGAAGAAUACGCUUUGAGGAACGCUACGAGCCAGUGCCGCCACAGAAUCGCCUGCCGCUGUGUCGUCCGGGCCUCGACUUUAUCCUCACAAAAAGAGAUGUAGGCGAUGUGCGUGCGAUGCAUCACACGGUAUGGGUAUCAGACUUGCGUGUACUGGGCAGCUACGCAUGCGCGAUGACGCAUCCACAUCAGAUCCGUGAAAUCGCUGCGCCGACCGCAGGAUCGCUGUGUAGCCGUUACUAGCCGUGCCUUGCUUGCCUUAUUCCUC